rnacentral:rRNA from 1 species
UACGUAGGGGGCAAGCGUUGUCCGGAAUCAUUGGGCGUAAAGAGCGCGUAGGCGGUCCGGUAAGUCGGUUGUGAAAACUGGGGGCUCAACCCUCAGAGGCCGACCGAUACUGUCGGGCUAGAGUCCGGAAGAGGCGAGUGGAAUUCCUGGUGUAGCGGUGAAAUGCGCAGAUAUCAGGAGGAACACCGAUGGCGAAGGCAGGUCUCUGGGCCACUACUGACGCUGAGAAGCGAAAGCAUGGGGAGCGAACAGG